UUGUGUACUAAUAAUUUUGUUUUUUUUUUUCUAUUUUUAAUUUUUUUUUGUAUUUUUUUUUUUUUUUUUAAAUGUCUAUAUAUAAAUUAAAACAAAUAGUACAAUGUAUCAUACCCUUGGUUUGUCAACUUUUUUAAAGUAAAAAAAAAAUUAACAAAAUGAAGAAUGGUAAAUCGAAGAAUAGUGUCAAAAAGAAAAAAGGGGUGUACAUUGUAAAAAAUCAAAAACAAAACGAAAACUAUAAUGAAAACCAAAGCGAAAACUAUAAUGAAAACCAAAGCGAAAACGAAAACCAAAGCGAAAACGAAAACCAAAACGAAAACCAAAACCAUAGCAAAAACCAAAACCAUAGCAAAAACCAAAACCAUAGCAAAAACCAAAAUAAUAACAAUAAAAUUUUAAACAAAAGUAAUGAUAAAUUAAAUGAAGAAUGUCAAUUAAAUAAUACUUUAAACAAAAUAAAGAAAAAUAAAAAUAAUCAUUAUAAUGAUAAAACUUUUAAAAAUAAAAUAAUAAAAGAAUCUAUAAAUAAAAAUGAAUGUUCUACUAAUGUUGUAGUAGAACUGGGAGUCAAUAGUAUAGCUGUUCAUACAUCUGAUUUGGUAAAAAAAAAUGGUAAUAAUAAUAGUAUCAAUAAUAAUAGUAUCAAUAAUAAUAGUAUCAAUAAUAAUAGUAUCAAUAAUAAUAGCAAUAAUAUUAGUAACAAAAUAAUCACAAUUCAUAAUAAUUUUAAUAAACUAAACAAUGUGAAUAGUGAUAACUAUGUAUGUACAGACCAAGUAAAGCAAUUGACUAAAAUUAAUAGCUUAGGUAAUAAUAAAAGUAAAACAAAACAUAAGAAUAUUAAUAAUUGUUAUCAGUCUACCAAUAGUACUGGCUUAGAUAAUGAUAGUGCGCAACAUACUAGCAUUCCUGCUACUACUGCUACCAUCUAUUAUAGUAAUAAUAAUAAUAUUAAUGGUAUAACUACCGUCACAACUAACAACAGUACUAGUAAUACUCCAACUGCUACUAUUGUUACAACUAAUAAUAACAACGACAAUAAAAAUAAUGCUUACAAAACUGCAUAUGUGCAGAAUGGUAUUUAUGAUAACAAGAAAGAAUAUAUAAUUAAUGCGUCAUCAUAUAUAGACAAAAAUGCACCAACUGAUGUAAACAGUCAAGUAACUAAUAAAAAUAUUAUUGAAGAAAAUGGUAUAUAUUUAUCGGCUAAUAUGAGUAUGAAUGAAACAACAAGUAAUAAAGAUAUCCGUACUGAUAAUAAUAACUACAGUAGUUGCGAUAAGGAUGGGAAUAAUGACAAUAACACUAAAAACAUUAGUUAUAGUAACAAUACAUGUGUCCAUCGCGAAUGGGAUGAUAUUAAUACGGACUCAGAAACUGGUUCUAAUAAAAGUAUAAAGUGUGAGAGCAUUAGUAAUACAAAUCAUAAAAAAUAUAAAAUUACAUCGGAAUCUAUUUAUAACAUAGGCUUAAGAAAUAAUAAAAAAAAUAAUACAGUCCAUAGCAAUAGUAAUAGUUAUAAUAGCGACCUACAUAAUGAUAUCAUAAAAAGGUUAAGCAAAAAUGUAAUAAAAAAACAAUAUGUAAAAGAAAAAUAUGACCACACAAAAAAAAACAAAAUAAAAAAAAAACAAAAAUUAAGUAAUAUUAUUUUAAAUAAUGGCUUAAAUAAUAAUACAAAUAAUUUAACAAAGAUUUUUUCAAAAGAAUUAAACACAUCUAUUUUAAUCAAUCAAAAUAAGGAAAAAGAAACAUAUGCAAAUAAUAACGCGAUUGAAAAUAUAAAUGUUAAUAAUAUCUGUAAAAAUCCUGAAUUCAUAAUAAUUGAAAAGAAACACACUGCUAAUGACCAAAACUAUAAAACUGAUAAUGACAAAAACGAUAAAACUGAUAAUGACAAAAACNNNNNNNNNNACAAAAACGAUAAAACUGAUAAUGACAAAAACGAUAAAACUGAUAAUAAUAUAAAUAGUGAAAUCGAAAAUUGUGAAUAUAGAUGUAUGAAUAGUAAUACAAAUGAAGACAUUGAAGGUAAUAAUAAACAAAUGAAAAAAAAAAACGACUUAUAUGACAUGGAAACAAAAUUAAACGAUUAUAACAACAGUGGUAUUAAUAGAAGCAGUAAUAGCAAUAGUAGUAAUAUAGAUGUUCAUAAAAAAGUGGAAAAUACGUUUAUGGUUAAAACAAUUAAUAAAAAUGAGCACGAAAAUAAAAAAGAUCUUUUUAAUGUCUGCAACGAUAUGUGCAUUAAUGAUAAUUACAGUGUAGAAAGUGGUGCGGAAAAUGGUAGACAUAAUGGUAGACAUCAUAGCAUAGACAACGGCUUUGGUAGUGAGAGGCAACAUUAUGAAACAGAAAAAUAUAACACCCAUUUGAACAACACUACACAAUGUACAAACAUGGACGAAGAAAGAACAGAUUUAUAUUAUAAAAAUAAUUAUUUUGAAAAAUUAGUUGAAGACCUUAAAAAUAUGAGUAAAAAUGAAGCAAAUGAUGAUUAUUUAACGGAGAAUGAAAAAAUUAAACACUUGAUUGCAUUUCGAGAUAAUGCUAAGAAUUAUAUACAAAGUUAUAUUAAUUCUUUUUUAAAAGAUUUUAAUAUAUUGUAUUCAUAUCUAC
rnacentral:lncRNA from 1 species